rnacentral:pre_miRNA from 1 species
UUGAAUUCUUGACUUUAAACACUGCCUACAUACUGUAUGUGUUUUGCACCCGAUACAGAUGUGGGGGUCGUUUGCAAUCAGAGAUUCCGCA